GACCAGGAUAGCUCAGUCUGUAAGGGCAUGACUCUUAAUCUCAAGGUUGUGGGUUCGAGCCUCAUACUGGGCA